rnacentral:rRNA from 1 species
UACGUAGGGGGCAAGCGUUGUCCGGAAUCAUUGGGCGUAAAGCGCACGUAGGCGGCCCGGUAAGUCCGUUGUGAAAGUCAGAGGCUCAACCUCUGGAGGCCAAUGGAUACUGCCGGGCUAGAGUCCGGAAGAGGCGAGUGGAAUUCCUGGUGUAGCGGUGGAAUGCGCAGAUAUCAGGAGGAACACCAAUAGCGAAGGCAGCUCGCUGGGACGUUAUUGACGCUAAGGCGCGAAAGCGUGGGGAGCAAACAGG